AUAAGCGAAUGCCUUCUCCUUCCACGAGUGACCAUAUAGCCAAACCUAGAAAAUCUUGCAUUUUAUCGUAGAACGAGUAAGGGUUAACCUAAUUAAGCUAACAGCUCUCCAAAGGGGGAUCAUUGUGGUCGACACAAAAAUGGCUGGAAUUCUUGUAUAUGCCACCAUCUUACUUAUGACUCUAGUCUGGUGUAGAUUGUUAAGAAGACAAAAGAAAGGAUCCCAAGGGAAAAGUGAGACCCAGCUUCCUCCUGGAUCAAUGGGGUGGCCUUAUAUAGGAGAAACUCUCCAACUCUAUUCUCGAGACCCAAAUGUAUUUUUCGCUUCCAAACAGAAAAGGUAUGGAGAGAUUUUCAAAACGCACAUAUUAGGCUGCCCUUCUGUUAUGUUGGCUAGUCCCGAGGCAUCUCGCUUCGUGUUAGUAACUCAAGCUCACCUGUUUAAGCCCACGUACCCCCACAGCAAGGAGCGUCUCGUUGGUCCAGCGGCGCUGUUUUUUCACCAAGGAGACUACCACACUCGUCUCAGAAAGCUGGUUCAAGCCUCAUUGUCUAUUGAGGCUAUUCGGAACUUGGUGCCCGAUAUCGAUGCCCUAGCAGCCUCUACCGUAGAUUCUUGGCAUGGGGGGCAUGUCGUUAACACCUUUCAUGAAAUGAAAAAGUUCUCUUUCGAAGUUGGCAUACUAAUGAUCUUUGGCCGCCUCGAGGCUCGAUAUAGAGAGGAGCUUAAGAAGAACUACUUCAUAGUUGACAAAGGCUACAACUCCUUCCCUACAAACAUCCCUGGAACUCCUUACAGAAAGGCAUUGCAGGCAAGGAAGAGGUUAAGUAAGAUAUUGAGUGAUAUCAUAAGUGAAAGGAAGGAGAAGAAGUUGCUGGAAAAGGAUCUUUUGGGUUGCCUAUUGAAUUCCAAGGAUGAAAAAGGCCAAGUCCUAACCGACGAUAAAAUCGCCGAUAACAUCAUUGGAACUCUUUUCGCUGCUCAGGACACGACGGCCAGUGUCAUGACAUGGAUCGUCAAGUACCUUCAUGACAACCCGAAACUUCUAGAGGCAGUUAAGGCUGAACAAAAGGCAAUUAAAAUAUUUACUGAAGAAAGCAAUCAGCCGCUGAGUUGGUCACAUACUCGGAAUAUGCCAAUUACUUACAAGGUUAUAUUAGAGACUUUAAGAAUGGCAAGCAUCAUAUCCUUCACUUUUAGAGAAGCAGUUGCUGAUGUGGAAUACAAAGGUUACCUCAUUCCGAAAGGUUGGAAAGUAAUGCCUCUGUUCAGAAACAUUCAUCACAAUCCCCAUUUUUUUACUGAUCCGCAGAAAUUCGAUCCUUCAAGGUUUGAGGUAUGUUGCCCCAAAACCCAAUACUUUCAUGCCAUUUGGCAGUGGAGUGCACGCCUGUCCUGGAAAUGAGCUUGCAAAAUUGGAGAUGCUUAUAGUGACCCACCACUUGGUUUCCAAGUUCAGGUGGGAAGUGGUAGGAUCCGAAAGUGGAAUUCAGUAUGGCCCAUUUCCAGUCCCUCAGCAAGGACUCCCCACCAGAUUUUGGAAAGAAUCUACAACUUAGAAAGGCAAGCACGGAUGGUGGGUGGAUUACAAUAAGAGCAGUAAUGCAAUGCUCCGCUCCCAUUUCACUCCCUUUGUCUCUACAGCAAAACUUUCAACUGAGUAGUUUCCAUUUUUACCACCUGAUUUAUAGCAAAUCCCCUUCCAAGCUCUCCUGGGGAUACCAACUUGUUUCCCAUCCAUCUCAGUUUUAGUUCAUUCUCAUUGUCAUUAAAAGCCUUUUUUACUCCAUCUUUUAGCGGCAAGCAAGUUGUAGCUCCAAAUUUGAUAUUUAUGAUAAUCGAAAGGUUUCAGUUAACAAACAA